CACGAAGGGUGCAAGUGAAUAUUGUUAGUGUAUAGUUAAGUGAUAUAUGAGGAAGGUAAAAAUGAAUUUAUUAGGUGAAAUUUUAAAUUUGAAUAACUUCUUUAAAGGUUGUUGAAGCUGUGAAAUUUAAAGAUUAAACUAGGAUUAGAUACCCUAUUAUUUUAAACGUUAAAUAUAAAUACUUGAGUAGUAAUAGUUAUAUUCUUGAAACUCAAAGAAUUUGGCGGUGUUUUAGUCCUUUCAGAGGAACCUGUCCCGUAAUCGAUAGCCCACGUUAGACCUUACUUAAUUUAGUAAUCAGCUUGUAUACCGCCGUCGUCAGAAUGUCCUUAGAGGGAGAAAAUUUUCUUGAAUUUUAAUUAGAAAUGAUGUCAGGUCAAGGUGCAGUUAAUAAUUAAGUGGUGAUGGGUUACAAUAAAUUUAUUUAUUAUGAAUAAUGACUUGUAAUAGUUGUUUGAAGGUGGAUUUGAUGGUAAUUAUAUUAAGUUUAUUUAAUUGAUUUUGGCUCUAAAACAUGCACACAUCGCCCGUCGCUCUCGUUAAUUAAGGCGAG
rnacentral:rRNA from 1 species